UACUCUUUCUCCUCCUCCUAAUGGAAAGGACAGCCGUGGUAUGCCGCCAGUCAAACUGGUGCAGUUCUGGAGAAACACUCAGCUUCGUGAGCAGUAAGACCCGCUGCCUCCUCAGUGCUACUGCUUUUAUUGAAAACUUGAGGGCACCGUGGCAUUUGCUUUAGAUGCGUGAUGGUGGAUGAAGGCACUAUAGCGCUGAUCAAACCUCAGGAGCCGACCCUCUGCAAGCAUUCUUUUCCUCAUUUGGACUUGGAGGAAGCAGCUCCUUUUGGAUCCCAAAGCAUGCAAGUUUUGCUACAAGAGGCCUCUCUGUUCUUUAAAGAAUGAAUAUACUUUCAGUGUUUGGUCACUUCUAGACCCAGCAGAAGUAUUUAAGGGAAAUGCAGGCCCAAAUUCCUGCUUUAUUCCUCCAAUUUUUCUUUUGUCUUUUCUUCUAGAUUUUGGCAUGUUCUGUCUUGUUAGCUCUUCAGUUUCUUCUAAUCAGUUUCUUUAUUGGGGGCUGGAGAGAAGGCUCAGCGGUUAAGAGCACAACAGUGUGCUCACAUACAUGAAAUAAAUCUUUUUAAAAAGAAAAAAAAAAAGAAAAGAAAAAGUACACCGUAGCUCUCUUCAGACACACCAAAAAAGGGCAUCAAACCCCAUUACAGAUGGUUGUGAGCCACCAUGUGGUUGCUGGGAAUUGAACUUAGGACCUCAGGAAGAGCAGUCAGUCCUCUUAACCGCUGAGCCACCCCUCCAGCCGUAAUCAAUUUCUUGAAGUUCUACUUUUCUAAGUGUGCUCAGCAGGACAGGAUGGGAUGUCCAUUAACGGAAUGCACAACCAAGCCCAUUUUUGUAUUUGUUCUUCUUUACACAUCUAUAUUGUGGUCUAUCAAAAAGGGAACGAGGGUAGUCGGGCAGGACAGUGCACACCUGGUAUCCUAGCAAGCAGCAACUUCUAAUGGGAAUCUUAAUUUCAAGGCUAGCCUGGGCUACAGAAUGAGAUUGUGUCAGAAGGAAGAAUAAAAGGAGAGAAAUGGAGAGAAAGAAAAGGGUAGAAAGGAAGAUGAAAAGAGACAAGGGGGGAGGAAAAAGGAGUUACCCUGGGGUUUAGCUCAGUAGUAGAGAGCACAGACUUUGAUGCUCAGCCCUUCACCCCAACCCACCCCCCCCCAAAAAAAGAAGAAAAAGAGGAAGAAACAAUAAGCUAUCAAUAAGAGCAUUUCCUGGGCUACUGUGUGAUGUGACCUGGGUUUGCCAGCUAGAGGAUGAAAAGGAACUUGGUAAGUAAGCACCCAUGAAGGCACUAAGGGAAAUAGCAUGUGCAGGAGACUGCUUGAACCGCCUGUGCCCAUUUCUGUGCUCAUGGAGAGAAAGGAAGGUGGACGAGGAAAAAGGCAGAGGAAAGCAUAUCAAAGAUAGGGUGGAAAAUAAGCAAACAAACCCUAAACUAUGUUCUUGUACAAAGCCUUGCCUGAAAACCAGUACCACCCCUGGGACUUUGCAGGAAAUUUCCUUAUUCCCUAGGCUGAAAAGAGACCUGGAACACAAGAGAGCAAGAGAAUGAAUGCAAAGAACCUAUCAGAUAAAGGUUAUGAGAAGAUGCGUGGCAGGGAAAUGGACAGGAAAGACCAGCACCUGAAUAAAACAAGAAGCACAAGAAAGAGAAUGACCUAGGUUUCCCUUUUCGUGGUAAACACAAUGAAACUGAGAUACUUACAGAACACCAGCCACACACUUGGGAACUUAGCAGGUUACUGGUUGUGUACUAGUACAGUCCCACAGAGAUGCUAGGGAGUUUUUCUAUAAGCCAAGUUAUUAGCAAAGUAAUCCAAGCAAGCCAAGUUCAGUCUCCUCAUCCUGCAAGAGAGGAGAGGAAAUCUCUGAGAGAAGUCCUCUGAUCACUAUACAUGUGCUGUAUGCAUGUGCGUGAGCAUGUACCACACACACACACACACACACACACACACACACACACACACACACAAACACACACACACUUGCUCAAAAAGUAUGGUGGUUUGAAUAACAAUGGCCCCUGGAAUCAUGUGUUUAAAUGCAUAGCCAAUAGGAAGUGGCACUAUUAGGAGGCAUGGCCUUGUUGGAGUAGAUGUGGCUUUGUUGGAGAAGUGCUGUCACUGUGGGGACAGGCUUUGAGGUCUCCCAUGCUCAAGCCACAGCCCAGUGUGGCACACAGUCUCUUCCUGCUGCCUUCAGAUUAAGAUCUAGAACUCUCAGGCCUAGAGAGAUGGCUCAAUGGUUAAGAGCACUGACUGUUCUUCCAGAGGUUCUGGGUUCAAUUCCCAGCAAUCACAUGGUAACUUACAACCAUCUGUAAUGAGGUCUGAUGCCCUCCUCUGGUGUGUCUGAAGAGAGCAAUAGUGUACUCAUACAUAAAAUAAAUAAAUCUUUAAAAAAAAUCUAGAACUCUCAGCACCUUCUCUAGCCUAUAUCUGCCUGUAUCAUGCCAUGUUUCUCACCAUUAUGAUAAUGAACUAAACUUCUGAAACUGUAAGCCAGCCCCAAUUAAAUGUUCUCCUUUAUAAGAAUUGUCAUAGUCAUAAUGUCUCUGAACAGCAAUAAAAACCUAAGACAAAAAGUAACCAGCAAAAUUAUUCCAAUAAAAUGGCUAAAGGAUGGGGCUGGUGAGAUGGCUUAGUGGUUA